AUACGGAGGGUGCAAGCGUUGUUCGGCAUUAUUGGGCGUAAAGAGCAUGUAGGCGGACUAUUAAGUCUGGUGUGAAAGCCCGGGGCUCAACCCCGGAAGUGCAUUGGAUACUGGUAGUCUUGAGUAUGGGAGAGGAAAGUGGAAUUCCGAGUGUAGGAGUGAAAUCCGUAGAUAUUCGGAGGAACACCAGUGGCGAAGGCGGCUUUCUGGACCAAUACUGACGCUGAGAUGCGAAAGCGUGGGGAGCGAACAGGAUUAGAAACCCUAGUAGUCC
rnacentral:rRNA from 1 species